UACAUGCAAGUCGAGCGGACGGAUGGGAGCUUGCUCCCAGACCGUCAGCGGCGGACGGGUGAGUAACACGUGGGCAACCUGCCUGUAAGACUGGGAUAACUCCGGGAAACCGGGGCUAAUACCGGAUAAUUCUUUCCCUCACAUGAGGGAAAGCUGAAAGAUGGCAUCUCGCUAUCACUUACAGAUGGGCCCGCGGCGCAUUAGCUAGUUGGUGAGGUAACGGCUCACCAAGGCCACGAUGCGUAGCCGACCUGAGAGGGUGAUCGGCCACACUGGGACUGAGACACGGCCCAGACUCCUACGGGAGGCAGCAGUAGGGAAUCUUCCGCAAUGGACGAAAGUCUGACGGAGCAACGCCGCGUGAGUGAUGAAGGUUUUCGGAUCGUAAAACUCUGUUGUCAGGGAAGAACAAGUACCGGAGUAACUGCCGGUACCUUGACGGUACCUGACCAGAAAGCCACGGCUAACUACGUGCCAGCAGCCGCGGUAAUACGUAGGUGGCAAGCGUUGUCCGGAAUUAUUGGGCGUAAAGCGCGCGCAGGCGGUUCCUUAAGUCUGAUGUGAAAGCCCCCGGCUCAACCGGGGAGGGUCAUUGGAAACUGGGGAACUUGAGUGCAGAAGAGAAGAGUGGAAUUCCACGUGUAGCGGUGAAAUGCGUAUAGAUGUGGAGGAACACCAAUGGCCAAGGCGACUCUUUGGUCUGUAACUGACGCUGAGGCGCGAAAGCGUGGGGAGCAAACAGGAUUACAUACCCUGGUACUCCACGCCGUAAACGAUGAGUGCUAAGUGUUACAGGGUUUCCCCCUUUACUGCUGCAUCAAACGCAUUAAGACUCCGCCUGGGGAGUACGGCCGCAAGGCUGACACUC
rnacentral:rRNA from 2 species